AUUGAACGCUGGCGGCAUGCUUUGCACAUGCAAGUCGAACGGCAGCGGGGUAGUGCUUGCACUACUGUCCGGCGAGUGGCGAACGGGUGAGUAAUAUAUCGGAACGUACCGAGUAAUGGGGGAUAACCAAUCGAAAGAUUGGCUAAUACCGCAUACGUCCUACGGGAGAAAGCGGGGGAUCGCAAGACCUCGCGUUAUUCGAGCGGCCGAUAACUGAUUAGCUAGUUGGUGGGGUAAAGGCCUACCAAGGCGACGAUCAGUAGCGGGUCUGAGAGGACGAUCCGCCACACUGGGACUGAGACACGGCCCAGACUCCUACGGGAGGCAGCAGUGGGGAAUUUUGGACAAUGGGGGCAACCCUGAUCCAGCCAUGCCGCGUGUAUGAAGAAGGCCUUCGGGUUGUAAAGUACUUUUGUUAGGGAAGAAAAGGGAAGUGCUAAUACCACUUUUUGCUGACGGUACCUAAAGAAUAAGCACCGGCUAACUACGUGCCAUCAGCCGCGGUAAUACGUAGGGGGCUAUCGUUAUCCGGAUUUACUGGGCGUAAAGGGGGGCGUAGUUGGGCUUUUAAGUCGGUGGUUAAAGGCUCGGCUCAACCGUAGUUUAGCCGCCGAAACUGGAAGACUUUGAGUGCAGGAGAGGAAAGUGGAUAUCCCCUGUGUAGCGUUGAAAUGUGUAGAUAUUGUGAAGAACACCAGUUGUCGAAGGUGUUUUCUGGACUGCUGCUGACGCGUGGGACGAAGCGUGUGUGCAUACUGUAUUAAUCCCUGUGUAGUCCAUGGUGCGAAUUCCUCUAUUGGUUUUUAUGCUUACGGUGCUGCUGACCCCCUGUGGGGGUGCCUGUGCUGUGGUGUUGUUCUCUUUGCUUGGGGUUGUUAGGUGACCUUUGUUGUUGUUUAUGUGUUUGUGUUUGGUUUUGUGUGUGUGUUGGUGUUAUGUGUGGUUUUGUUGUGUUGUUGAUUGUUUGCUGUGUGUCUGGUUGCAGUGUUUUAUGUGUAUAAUGUCUGUGUGUGGUUAGUGUGUGUGUGUAGUAUGUGCUGUGUAGUGUAGUGUGUUGUACUAG
rnacentral:rRNA from 1 species